rnacentral:tRNA from 1 species
UUAGCUGAAACCAAAGUAGAGGUUUACCACUGUUAAUGGUAUCAUUAAGAACAAUCUUCAGUUAAA